rnacentral:rRNA from 1 species
UACGUAGGGUGCGAGCGUGUCCGGAAUUAUUGGGCGUAAAGAGCUUGUAGGCGGUUUGUCGCGUCUGCUGUGAAAAUCCGGGGCUCACCCGGACCUUGCAGUGGGUACGGGCAGACUAGAGUGUGGUAGGGGAGAUUGGAAUUCCUGGUGUAGCGGUGGAAUGCGUAGAGAUCGGGAGGAACACCAGUGGCGAAGGCGGCUCGCUGGGCCGGUCCUGACACUGAGG